UAUGUCUCAUAGACCUGAUACAACUGUGGGACAUAACCAGAGAGAUUUCUACUGUGUUAUGGUUAGACAGUCACUGGUUAAGGUUAGAAAGUAACUGGUUAGACAGUCACUGGUUAUGGUUAGACAGUCACUAGUUA